rnacentral:rRNA from 1 species
GACGAACGCUGGCGGCGUGCUUAACACAUGCAAGUCGAACGAAGUGGCGAACGGGUGAGUAAUACGUGGGUAACCUGCCCUCAUUUUUGGGAUAAGCCUUGGAAACGGGUUCUAAUACCGGCUUAAGGGGGCGGGGCUAGCGGCCUAUCAGCUUGUUGGUGGGGUGAUGGCCCACAAAGGCGGUGACGGGUAGCCGGCCUGAGAGGGUGACCGGCCACAUUGGGACUGAGAUACGGCCCAGACUCCUACGGGAGGCAGCAGUGGGGAAUAUUGCACAAUGGGCGCAAGCCUGAUGCAGCCAUGCCGCGUGUAUGAAGAAGGCCUUAGGGUUGUAAAGUACUUUCAGCGGGGAGGCGUUACCCGCAGAAGAAGCACCGGCUAACUCCGUGCCAGCCGCCGCGGUAAUAC